rnacentral:rRNA from 1 species
GGGCCCGCACAAGCGGUGGAGUAUGUGGUUUAAUUCGAUGCAACGCGAAGAACCUUACCAGGGUUUGACAUCCUGCGAAUCUCUUGGAAACGAGAGAGUGCCUUCGGGAGCGCAGUGACAGGUGGUGCAUGGCUGUCGUCAGCUCGUGUCGUGAGAUGUUGGGUUAAGUCCCGCAACGAGCGCAACCCACGUCUUUAGUUGCCAGCAUUUAGUUGGGCACUCUAGAGAGACCGCCGGUGAUAAACCGGAGGAAGGUGUGGAUGACGUCAAGUCAUCAUGCCCCUUACAUCCUGGGCUACACACGUACUACAAUGCUACGGACAAAGAGCAGCAAGUUCGCGAGGACAAGCAAAUCUCAUAAACCGUGGCUCAGUUCAGAUCGUAGGCUGCAACUCGCCUACGUGAAGGAGGAAUCGCUAGUAA